rnacentral:rRNA from 1 species
AGCGAACGCUGGCGGCAGGCCUAACACAUGCAAGUCGAACGAACCCUUCGGGGUUAGUGGCGGACGGGUGAGUAACACGUGGGAACGUGCCUUUAGGUUCGGAAUAACUCAGGGAAACUUGUGCUAAUACCGAAUGUGCCCUUCGGGGGAAAGAUUUAUCGCCUUUAGAGCGGCCUGCGUCUGAUUAGCUAGUUGGUGAGGUAAUGGCUCACCAAGGCUACGAUCAGUAGCUGGUCUGAGAGAAUGACCAGCCACAUUGGGACUGAGACACGGCCCAAACUCCUACGGGAGGCAGCAGGGGGGAAUCUUGCGCAAUGGGCGAAAGCCUAACGCAGCCAUGCCGCGUGGAUGAUGAAGGUCUUAGGAUUGUAAAAUCCUUUCACCGGUGAAGAUAAUGACUGUAGCCGGAGAAGAAGCCCCGGCUAACUUCGUGCCAGCAGCCGCCGUAACAC